rnacentral:rRNA from 1 species
AUACGUAGGGGGCGAGCGUUGUCCGGAAUGAUUGGGCGUAAAGGGCGCGUAGGCGGCGCGGUAAGUCUGGAGUGACAGUCCUGCUUUCAAGGUGGGAAUUGCUUUGGAUACUGCCGCGCUUGAGUGCAGGAGAGGUUAUCGGAAUUCCCGGUGUAGCGGUGAAAUGCGUAGAGAUCGGGAGGAACACCAGUGGCGAAGGCGGGUAACUGGACUGCAACUGACGCUGAGGCGCGAAAGUGUGGGGAGCAAACAGGAUUAGAUACCCUGGUAGUCCACACUGUAAACGAUGAAUGCUAGGUGUAAGAGGUAUCGACCCCUUUUGUGCCGGAGUCAACACAAUAAGCAUUCCGCCUGGGGAGUACGGCCGCAAGGUUGAAACUCAAAGGAAUUGACGGGG